CCUGUCUAAAGUAGUAUGAUACAGUACUGCGUUAAAUAUAUAGUGCAGCUUGGGGCCUUAGUCGUGUCCAUUAAUUCCAAUGGGCCCAUUCUGAGUAUGACUCACAUGGGAUAUAACCCAUUGUCUCUCAAUGCAACCUACCUCUCAGGGUUGUUUUGAGGAUAAAAUGGGGGGGGGGGGCUAUGUACAUCGCUUUGAGAAAGGUGGAGUGUGUAAACAUAUUCCCUCAAACUGUGCAGUGAGUUUCUCCAAAAGAGGGAGGACUCUGAGGCCCUUCCUCUUCCUGUCAGAUGUUUGCUUCCAAGGUGCCAGGUAAGAGCCCAUUGGGCUUCCUUCUCUUCAGGCUUCCAGGUUCACCUCCUGAAUUCCUAGUAAUCCUGCCAGGCUGGACAUAAUUUGUUUGUCUUCUGCGCCAGGUCAGGUCAGAACAGUCAGCUCUGAUAAGAUUAAAUAAUCACACACCAGGUUGUGGAUUUUGGCUGAUGGGAUGUGAGGGGGGGUGUGGGGUUAUGCUGUGUUAUCUGAGAGACAUCCCUCCCUCCCUCCCUCCGCCAUCACAAUUUCCUCUCAGCAAGCUUAUUUAUUUAUUUGAUAUAUUUAUGUCCCACCUUUCUUCCCAGUUGGGCUUCAGGUUUUAGCAUGGGGAGCUGCAAAUGGAAGUAUUCCGUGAUCCAGGAUGCAAAUAUAACUGGUAGUGAUAUUGCAGACAUCCAAAUAUUGUGCAUAGGAUGGCUGAUGCCACGAGAAGAAUGCAUCCUGCAGUGGCGAUAAAUGCAUACAUGGACAAGAGCUUAUUUCACAGUAUAAUAGUUAGUCUUUAAUAUGCCACAGGACUUUUUGACAGUUUCACUGUGGAAUCCUUACAUUUUUUGAAAGUGUGUUAGGGAUGGACGAAUCUCCCACUUUAGUUUCUCUGUUUCUUUCCCCCCGCCCCCCAGCUUUAAACACACACCAUUGCUGCAUCAGUUUGUGAUUUUUUAUUUUAAAAGGUCUGUAAUUAUAAUGUGCAUUUUCUUGUUCAGUUUUGCCUAGUGCUGUACACAC